rnacentral:sRNA from 1 species
AGAACCUGGGCAUCCUCACCGGGCCGCAGCUCUUCUCCCUCAACAAGGAGGAGCUGAAGAAGGUGUGCGGCGAGGAGGGCGUCCGCGUGUACAGCCAGCUCACCGUGCAGAAGGCCUUCCUGGAGGGUGGGCUGGAGCUCCAGGCUGGCGGGGCUGAUCCCCGCACAUACGCAGGGUUCUGCUCCCUGAGGGGGGCCUGGGAGGGGCUCCAGCAGGAGGCCAUGGCUGCCAUUCAGGGGAAAGUUGGGGGACGACACACACUUGACCUGCAAGGGCCAACGACGCAGGGGACACCGUGCCGGCUUCAGACACUCCCAGAGCCCACCCUCACAGGCACAGGACUGGAGCUUUCUCCAGCCAAGUUUCAGGCCACUGAUCCUCGCAUGGUGUUGGGGGUGCUGGUGUGUUUUGGUGCCUGGACUUGGGUCUCACCCUACAGAUAAGAGGUGGCUGAGGCAUCAGGGCUAAGCAAUUAAACCAGUUAAGUCUCC